GACGAACGCUGGCGGCGUGCUUAACACAUGCAAGUCGAACGGAAAGGCCCUGCUUUUGUGGGGUGCUCGAGUGGCGAACGGGUGAGUAACACGUGAGUAACCUGCCCUUGACUUUGGGAUAACUUCAGGAAACUGGGGCUCAUACCGGAUAGGAGCUCUUGCUGCAUGGUGGGGGUUGGAGAGUUUCGGCGGUUGGGGAUGGACUCGCGGCUUAUGAGCUUGUUGGUGGGGUAGUGGCUUACCAAGGCUUUGACGGGUAGCCGGCCUGAGAGGGUGACCGGCCACAUGAGGACUGAGAGACGGCCCAGACUCCAACGGGAGGCAGCAGUGGGGAAUAUUGCACAAUGGGCGGAAGCCUGAUGCGACAACGCCGCGUGCGGGAUGACGGCCUUCGGGUUGUAAACCACUUUCGCCUGUGACGAAGCGGGAGUGACGGUAAUGGGUAAAGAAGCACCGGCUAACUACGUG
rnacentral:rRNA from 1 species